GGCAUGGUGGCGCAGUGGUUAGCAUUGCUACCUCACAAAGAAGGUUGUGGGUACGAAUCCGGCCUGGGGCC